UGAGAGAUACGGAGGUAGAGCACUGAAUGUCCUAGGGGGUAUUGCACCUACCGAAGACUAUCAAACUCCGAAUGCCGUCAUCUUAUACUUGGGAGUCAGACUGUGGGGGAUAAGAUUCAUAGUCGAAAGGGCAACAGCCCAGAUCGUCAGCUAAGGUCCCUAAAUGUAAGUUAAGUGGUAAAGGAUGUGGGAUUGCACAGACAACC
rnacentral:rRNA from 1 species